UACGGGGGGGCAAGGCGUUGUUCGGAGUUACUGGGCGUAAAGGGUGUGUAGGCGGUUUUCUAAGUUUGGUGUGAAAUCUCCCGGCUCAACCGGGAGGGUGUGCCGAAAACUGGGAGACUAGAGUGCGGGAUGGGAGAGUAGAAUUCCUGGUGUAGCGGUGAAAUGCGCAGAUAUCAGGAGGAACACCGGUGGCGAAGGCGCCACUCUGGGCCGAAACUGACGCUGAGGAGCGAAAGCGUGGGUAGCAAACAGG
rnacentral:rRNA from 1 species